CGCGAGACGGGCUACAUUGUAUUUUUGGAGGCUGUGUUUCGAUCUUGUCCUACUAAUUUAUUUUCUUUUUGUGCGCGUGUAAAAGCCACAAACCAUAAAGCCGACAGCCGAUACAAGACAAAGCUAUAGUCACAAGCUAAACAGAACGAGCAAAGUUUUAAUAUAAGAAGAUAUUUCGGAGAUUCCUGCAUGGUCCAGAGCCAGACAAAGAAGGAGUCUCCCCCAAAUCGGGCUGGCAAUUGCCUUGCAGCAAAGCCAUCAACUAAACAAGACAAGACAAGACAGUAAUGCUCUAAUACUUAAGUUAUAAUUAUGAAAUUUAAAAUUAUGAGAAAGAAAAUAAAGUAAAAUUUAGCACUUAA